GGAGGGAUGGCUGAGUGGUCGAAAGCACCGGUCUUGAAAACCGACGGGUCGAGAGGCCCCCAGGGUUCGAAUCCCUGUCCCUCCGCCA
rnacentral:tRNA from 2 species